UACGGAGGGGGCGAGCGUUUAUUCGGAAUUAUUGGGCGUAAAGGGCGCGUAGGCGGCCCGGUAAGUCAAAGGUGAAAUCCCUCGGCUCAACUGAGGAACUGCCUUUGAAACUGUCGGGCUUGAGGCCGGGAGGGGGUAGCGGAAUUCCCAGUGUAGCGGUGAAAUGCGUAGAGAUGUGGAGGAACACCAGUGGCGAAGGCGGCUUUCUGGUCUGUAACUGACGCUGAGGCGCGAAAGCGUGGGGGAGCAAACAGG
rnacentral:rRNA from 1 species